rnacentral:rRNA from 1 species
CAUUUGCCAAGCGCGUCUUCAUUAAUCAAGAACGAAAGUCAGAGGUUCGAAGGCGAUCAGAUACCGCCCUAGUUCUGACCGUAAACGAUGCCAACUAGCGAUCCGCCGGCGGCUCCAAGGCCCUGGUGGGGAGCUUCCCGGAAACGAAAGUCUUCCGGUUCCGGGGGAAGUAUGGUUGCAAAGCUGAAACUUAAAGGAAUUGACGGAAGGGCACCACCAGGAGUGGAGCCUGCGGCUUAAUUUGACUCAACACGGGAAAACUCACCCGGCCCGGACACCGUGAGGAUUGACAGAUUGAUAGCUUUUUCAUGAUUCGGUGGUUGGUGGUGCAUGGCCGUUCUUAGUUCGUGGAUCGAUUUGUCUGGUUUAUUCCGAUAACGAGCGAGACUCCAGCCUACUAAAUAGUGCGGGCAUUGCUAUUGUGCCAUGCACUUCUUAGAGGGAUUGGCUGCGUCUAGCGGCACGAAACGGAGCAAUAACAGGUCUGUGAUGCCCUUAGAUGUCCGGGGCUGCACGCGCGCUACACUGGCAAAGGCAGCGUGCUUGUCCGUCUCCGAAAGGAGCCGGUAAACCCUUGAAAAUUUGCCGUGAUUGGGAUCGGAAAUUGCAAUUAUUUUCCGUGAACGAGGAAUUCCUAGUAAGUGCGAGUCAUCAGCUCGCGUUGAUUACGUCCCUGCCCUUUGUACACACCGCCCGUCGCUGCCUAGAACUGAGCCAUUUCGAGAAUAUUCGGGAUCGCCGGUUGUGUCGUCCUUCGGGGCGCGCCUCUGGCCUGAGAACGAACGUAAUCGCAGUGGCUUGAACCGGGCAAAAGU